AGCGAACGCUGGCGGCAGGCCUAACACAUGCAAGUCGAACGAACUCUUCGGAGUUAGUGGCGGACGGGUGAGUAACACGUGGGAACGUGCCUUUUGGUUCGGAAUAACUCAGGGAAACUUGUGCUAAUACCGAAUGUGCCCUUCGGGGGAAAGAUUUAUCGCCAUUAGAGCGGCCCGCGUCUGAUUAGCUAGUUGGUGAGGUAACGGCUCGCCAAGGCGACGAUCAGUAGCUGGUCUGAGAGGAUGACCAGCCACACUGGGACUGAGACACGGCCCAGACUCCUACGGGAGGCAGCAGUGGGGAAUCUUGCGCAAUGGGCGAAAGCCUGACGCAGCCAUGCCGCGUGAAUGAUGAAGGUCUUAGGAUUGUAAAAUUCUUUCACCGGGGACGAUAAUGACGGUACCCGGAGAAGAAGCCCCGGCUAACUUCGU
rnacentral:rRNA from 1 species